rnacentral:tRNA from 1 species
GGAGAGGUGGCUGAGUGGUCGAAAGCACCGCACUCGAAAUGCGACGUACCGGCAACGGUACCGAGGGUUCGAAUCCCUCCCUCUCCG